UUCGGUGAAAUUUUUUGAGAAGGCUUAAAGCUUAGUAGGGCUGCUAACUUUACUAUAAGGGUGUUGAUUCCCUU
rnacentral:tRNA from 1 species